GACGAACGCUGGCGGCGUGCCUAACACAUGCAAGUCAACUUGACUGAAGGAGCAAUCUGACAGUAGAGUGGCGCAAGGGUGCGUAACGCGUAAGUAACUUGCCCCAAGGUAAGGAAUAACGUCGAGAAAUCGGCGCUAAUACCUCAUAAUGCAGCGGAUCCGCAUGGAUAUGUUGUUAAAGGUUUACCGCCUUGGGAUAGGCUUGCGUCUGAUUAGCUAGUUGGUGUGGUAACGGCACACCAAGGCUACGAUCAGUAACUGGUCUGAGAGGAUGAUCAGUCACGCUGGAACUGAGACACGGUCCAGACUCCUACGGGAGGCAGCAGUGAGGAAUAUUGGGCAAUGCUCGAAAGAGUGACCCAGCAACGCCGCGUGGAGGAUGAAGGUAUUCUAUAUCGUAAACUCCUAGUGAGAGCAGACGAAAGACAGAUUAUUAAUCUGGAUGACUGUAUGCUCAGAGGAAGCCCCGGCUAACUAC
rnacentral:rRNA from 1 species